UUUCGCGGUAUGGGANGGGGUCGCGUCCUAUCAGCUUGACGGCGGGGUAACGGCCCACCGUGGCUUCGACGGGUAGCCGGCCUGAGAGGGCGACCGGCCACAUUGGGACUGAGAUACGGCCCAGACUCCUACGGGAGGCAGCAGUGGGGAAUAUUGCACAAUGGGCGCAAGCCUGAUGCAGCGACGCCGCGUGAGGGAUGGAGGCCUUCGGGUUGUAAACCUCUUUUAUCGGGGAGCAAGCGAGAGUGAGUUUACCCGUUGAAUAAGCACCGGCUAACUACGUGCCAGCAGCCGCGGUAAUACGUAGGGUGCAAGCGUUAUCCGGAAUUAUUGGGCGUAAAGGGCUCGUAGGCGGUUCGUCGCGUCCGGUGUGAAAGUCCAUCGCUUAACGGUGGAUCCGCGCCGGGUACGGGCGGGCUUGAGUGCGGUAGGGGAGACUGGAAUUC
rnacentral:rRNA from 1 species